GGAACAUGUAGGCUAUCCAUAUGGGGGAGAAGUGUAUGUGCUUGUGAUCACUGCUUUAGUGCUUUAAUCAUCAGAGCCUCUGUCAGCAGUAACAAGCACAUCUGCUUAUGGCUAUGACUUACCUUUGUGAGCACUACUGUCCGAUCAUGGCUUGCGUUGUGCUCAUCAUGUUUUAUAGAAACAGCACGGGAGCAUGCUUAAUCGGUAACAGAUUAGGUAUGGAUGAGGUUCCCACAAAUGUGAGAAGCCCAUUUGUAAAAUGCAUGGGUAGUAGUAGUAACUGAUAAAGGAAGGUGAUUUAACCGGUCAAGUUGCUUGGGUUUUCAAAGUGAAAUGUGGACUAGUUGCAUGUUUAAGGAGCUAGCACAAGUAGAUCCCACAUUUUAUGCUGGUACAGCACCUAAGAAACAAUGUUCUUUGUUUGCGGUGGAUAGUAACUAAGGACUAACUUUUAACUUUGGGUUUGAAAAUUAAAGCUCUGUUUUAAGCAUCCCAAAUCACUGGGUGGGGGGAUAAUCGGUGCGUGCAUAAGUUUUUCUGAACCUCUUAUGGUAGCUUGGAAGAUCACUCUGAGCACCAUAACUACUACUGUGCGCGGUUGUGGCCAUAGUGCUAAGAAUCUUAGCACCUUCUUAUAGUAAAGAGUUAAACUGGUUUUCACCUAGGUGCAUGCAUGCCUUUUAGUCUUCUGUGAUAUUGCUAAAAGAAAAUAUCCUAUGUUAGCUUUAGCAAUAUCACUUGUCUGGGAUUGAACAUCAUUCAUUGGUUGAGAGCAUCUGUUACAAGUGCAAUAAGCAAAAUUAUUUUACUUCACAUAACACUGUAAGUUUGUUUCAAGUGCUAGUAUUUUAUACCUUUUUGCCUCGAUGCUGCUUCUUGGCAUUACUAAGGUUUCAGACUAUCUG